rnacentral:sRNA from 1 species
AGAUUCUCCCCAGACGCCAAGGAUGCGGGUCAUGGCGUCCCGAACCCUCCUCCUGCUGCUCUCGGGAGCCGUGGUCCUGAUCCAGACCUGGGCAGAUUACAAUUACAAUCAAGGCAGAAAUGAUCUCAUUUUUACACAA